rnacentral:rRNA from 1 species
GAUGAACGCUGGCGGCGUGCCUAAUACAUGCAAGUCGAGCGAACAGACGAGGAGCUUGCUCCUCUGACGUUAGCGGCGGACGGGUGAGUAACACGUGGAUAACCUACCAAUAAGACUGGGAUAACUUCGGGAAACCGGAGCUAAUACCGGAUAAUAUAUUGAACCGCAUGGUUCAAUAGUGAAAGACGGUUUUGCUGUCACUUAUAGAUGGAUCCGCGCCGCAUUAGCUAGUUGGUAAGGUAACGGCUUACCAAGGCGACGAUGCGUAGCCGACCUGAGAGGGUGAUCGGCCACACUGGAACUGAGACACGGUCCAGACUCCUACGGGAGGCAGCAGUAGGGAAUCUUCCGCAAUGGGCGAAAGCCUGACGGAGCAACGCCGCGUGAGUGAUGAAGGUCUUCGGAUCGUAAAACUCUGUUAUUAGGGAAGAACAAAUGUGUAAGUAACUAUGCACGUCUUGACGGUACCUAAUCAGAAAGCCACGGCUAACUACGUG